rfam:Azorhizobium caulinodans ORS 571 DNA, complete genome.
CGCCUGUUUCGCUCAGGCGGAGCUCAACCGCCCGUUCAAGCGGUGAUCGCCUUUAUUGACGAUCACCGAGAGGCAUACGGGGUCGAGCCGAUCUGCAAGGUCUUGCCGAUCGCCCGG